rnacentral:rRNA from 1 species
UACGUAGGGUGCAAGCGUUGUCCGGAAUCAUUGGGCGUAAAGCGCUCGCAGGUGGUCCGUCGCGUCGUGCGUGAAAGACCCCGGCUCAACUGGGGAGGGUCGUGCGAUACGGGCGGACUGGAGGCCAGUAGGGGGAUGCGGAAUUCCGGGUGUAGUGGUGGAAUGCGUAGAGAUCCGGAGGAACACCAGCGGCGAAGGCGGCAUCCUGGACUGGUCCUGACACUCAUGAGCGAAAGCGUGGGGAGCGAUCCGG